UACGAAGGGGGCUAGCGUUGCUCGGAAUCACUGGGCGUAAAGGGUGCGUAGGCGGGUCUUUAAGUCAGGGGUGAAAUCCUGGAGCUCAACUCCAGAACUGCCUUUGAUACUGAGGAUCUUGAGUCCGGGAGAGGUGAGUGGAACUGCGAGCGUAGAGGUGAAAUUCGUAGAUAUUCGCAAGAACACCAGUGGCGAAGGCGGCUCACUGGCCCGGUACUGACGCUGAGGCACGAAAGCGUGGGGAGCAAACAGG
rnacentral:rRNA from 1 species